rnacentral:rRNA from 1 species
AUGAGCAUCAUCAGCUGGAACUGCCGGGGCCUCGGGCAGCCCCGGACAGUUCAGGAGCUUGUGUGCCUUGUGAACACACACAAGCCCAAGAUCGUCUUUCUCUUUGAAACUAGGCAAUGCAAGCAAAAGGUAAAGGGAAUAAAAUGGAGGAUAGGCCUCAAACACCGCUUGACCCAUGAUGGUAAGGGCAAGGGUGCGGGCAUUGCUUUGUAUUGGGACGAUUCAAUAAAAUGGCGAUGUACUUUUGUCUAUGGUGAACCAAGAGGUCAGGACAUGCAUCAUAUGUGGAAACUCUUGAGUGAAAUUGCCCCAUGAGCAAAAGAGCCAUGGAUGAUGGUGGGAGACUUUAAUGAAACAAUGUGGCAACACGAACACUUCUCGCAUGCUAAAAGAUCAGAGAGGAACAUGGCAAAUUUCAGGGACUUGUUGGCUUGGUGUAAUCUACAUGACUUGGGAUACUUUGGUCCGGACUGGACUUACAACAACAAGCAAGAAGGUGCCAGGAAUGUUAAAGCUCGGUUAGACAGGGCUGUGGAAACUACAGAUUGGUCUGAGUUAUUCCCAGACUGA